rnacentral:lncRNA from 1 species
UGAAUCUCAAUUGAUCGUAUCCUCCGCUCAAUUCCCAUCGCCAUCUUCCAGGUUCCACCCGCGAUGGUCAUCUCCUCUAAUCGAUGCCCGCUAGAGCGCCACUGAUGAUUCGCGGUUGAGUUACGGAAGAACCACCAGACAACCAUCAUCACUGCUGGAAUCCUUGUCGGUCGAUUCCUCUUCGCUUCAAUCCUUAUGUCAGCCAUGGACAGGCGUUUCAAAGUGCAGCGCUUUUUGAUUCCUUAACGGUUCGGGAUAAUGUUGGUUUUCUUAUGUAUGAGCAUUCAAGAAUGCCCGAGGAUAAAAUUAAAGAACUUGUUGCAGAAACAUUGGUUGCAGUUGGAUUAAAGGUGGGUAGUUGCACUACCAUGUGGAGUUCAUAAACUUACAAAGGCUUUCAAGCUAGAUCUUGCUAUAUAUUCCAGCUUACAAGAUGCUAAACCUUGCGCACUGGUUGCACUGUGGAAGGCUAACAUGGAUGAAUGGAACUUUAACCAGCCUGAUCUCACAGUGGUCAUUACAUGUUCCAACAGUAAUUUCUCUGCACAUAUAAAUUACAUAUACUUGCUCGUGUAAACUGUCAACUGGGAUGUAUAGUUUGUUCGCUUUUAUAAAUUACAUAUAUUUCUCCAUUUCUUUUAUAUGUAUAAGUUGAAUUUUAUUGGUUAUAAGUAUCAUUUUGUUUUUAUAUGUUUAUUAAUUAGGUGAUUGAUGUAUGAAAUAGUUUUAUCUGCAAAAACAGGUACAGAGUAUGGCAUUUGAUACCGGUACCAAUACCUAAUUUUCCCGUACCGAAUUAUUUUUGGUAACGAUUCGGUACCAACUUUUUGACGUUUUUGGUAGCGGUACUUUCGGUUAGGAAGCGGUAUUUUACCGACUUUUACUUUCAAAUACCAGUACCGGUACCGAGCUUAUCCUUACUAUGAAUACAUGUUUUAUUUACUUAUAGCCGAAGGAGUAAACUUUAUUGUUCCCUAAACCUAAGUUUAUUUUUAACUAUAGAGUCACACAUCAAAUUUGCAACAGUUAACGAAGAUGAAAAGCCACAAUUUCAUCGGUCUUGCAAUGCAUAAGGAGCUCCUUAGAUGCAUGAAAAGAGGUAUGGCUAAUGCGUCUGAACAAAGCCGGAAGUUGCCAAACGUGGAGCAAUGAAGAUUUUGAAGACCACUCACUUAAGGAACCAUGUUGUUGUGUGAAGAGUAGAGGAAUACUCGGCUUUGAAUAUGGAUGGCAUUCGCGAAGAAUGGUCGAGUUAGGCAACAACUUUUGUUUUUAAGUGACAAACUGUAUUUUAGGUAUCAGCGAAUGUAUUGUCAAACAAUAUUUUUGUUAAUGUAAAAAUAUUUGUAGUAUAAUUGCAAAUGAUU